rnacentral:rRNA from 1 species
CACGUAGGCGGACUUUUAAGUCAGGGGUGAAAUCCCAGAGCUCAACUCUGGAACUGCCUUUGAUACUGGAAGUCUUGAGUAUGGUAGAGGUGAGUGGGAUUCCGAGUGUAGAGGUGAAAUUCGUAGAUAUUCGGAGGAACACCAGUGGCGAAGGCGGCUCACUGGACCAUUACUGACGCUGAGGUGCGAAAGCGUGGGAGCAAACA